rnacentral:rRNA from 1 species
UACGGGGGGGGCAAGCGUUGUUCGGAAUUACUGGGCGUAAAGGGCUCGUAGGCGGCCAACUAAGUCAGAGGUGAAAUCCCUCGGCUUAACCGGGGAACUGCGUCUGAUACUGGAUGGCUUGAGUUUGGGAGAGGGGUGCGGAAUUCCAGGUGUAGCGGUGAAAUGCGUAGAUAUCGGGAGGAACACCGGUGGCGAAGGCGGCAUCCUGGACCGACACUGACGCUGAUGCGCGAAAGCGAGGGGAGCAAACAGG